rnacentral:rRNA from 1 species
AUUGAACGCUGGCGGCAUGCCUUACACAUGCAAGUCGAACGGCAGCACGGGAGCAAUCCUGGUGGCGAGUGGCGAACGGGUGAGUAAUGUAUCGGAACGUGCCCAGUCGUGGGGGAUAACGUAGCGAAAGCUGCGCUAAUACCGCAUACGAUCUAUGGAUGAAAGCGGGGGACCGUAAGGCCUCGCGCGAUUGGAGCGGCCGAUGUCAGAUUAGGUAGUUGGUGGGGUAAAGGCUCACCAAGCCAACGAUCUGUAGCUGGUCUGAGAGGACGACCAGCCACACUGGGACUGAGACACGGCCCAGACUCCUACGGGAGGCAGCAGUGGGGAAUUUUGGACAAUGGGCGCAAGCCUGAUCCAGCAAUGCCGCGUGCAGGAAGAAGGCCUUCGGGUUGUAAACUGCUUUUGUACGGAACGAAACGGUCCUGGUUAAUACCCGGGGCUAAUGACGGUACCGUAAGAAUAAGCACCGGCUAACUACGUGCCAGCCGCCGCGGUAAAAC